rnacentral:lncRNA from 1 species
GUUUCUUCCUCCACUUCUGUCAGUCUGUGUUUGAUUCCCUGUCUGACUGCUGCAACGAUCCCGGACACUUAACAAGACUAUAAGAAUGAAAUAGAAACUCUAUUCUGCUAGUGUUGAAAGUGUAGCAUGCACGCUUAGAUUUUCAGAAAUUUGGUAGGAUGGAUUCGUCUAGUGUGAUUUUUAAUUUCUUUACUUGAAGGCUUAAAUAAACUUAGUCUGUUUUUAGAGUUCUUUCCUUGGAACAGUUGCUGGUGAUUGGAUCAUUAUAUUUUUAAGGCUUUGUUGUUCCGUUGAGUAUGCAAGGAUAAACCAGUUUCAUGCGUGGUUAGAUUUAGUAGUUGGUUUCUUUUAUGCUAGGUAUUCUGAAUCUUAUUGGUGUAGUGAUACAAAAUCAGAUAUAGGAUAUAUAGAACUACUAGCAAGGGUAUUUAACACAAGCACGGAUAAGUUUGUGUUCUACUUAACUGUUUUAGACAUCAUCACGCAGGUUUUGAAAACAAAAAUUGGUGAUCUCAACAGCCCUUGACACCUCAAUAACUCACAAUUUAAAGAACUUCUUGGUUGCUCAAUUUACUGGCAUGCUGGUUUAUAUAAAACCUCAGUUCAGCUUUUUAGCAAGAAUAUAAGGAAGCUCUUUACAUGUUUAUCUACUGAUGACAGCUGUUUAUAGAAGCACCCUGGAAUGGAAAGAUUGACGAGGACAGUAUACAAUCUGACAGUCGGCAUUAAGACAUUAACCUAUCUAUCUAUAAUAAUUGCAACAUAAUGACAUCAAUAUACAAAUACAAGUCUUAGUCCUGCUGUCAUAGGGUCUGAACUAGCACUUUAUUUUUUUGCAGGAGUUGAACGAGGACAGUAUACAAUCUGAACUAAGUACCAGAACUCAUUUGGAUCAACUACGCAAGUUGUUUGGGUGAAGUGUUCUGAAUUUCAGUAGGCGAAGAUCAUUUGGUGAGCAACUCUAAUUCUUUAAUUACUUAAUCAAUCUUCAUAAACUAAUUAGUUCAAUUUCUACUUGCAGAAAUUAGUUGAUAAACUAAUCAAUGCCGUUGAUAUACUGAUAGUUUCACAUGACUUGAAUGAUUGUCUGCUUGUGAAGUUUUAAUACCUUCAUAUUGACGAGCUUCGGGUCGAAUUUAUUGAAUUUGUGCAACAUUGUAUGGGGGAAUAUGCUGAAGAAUGAAUGGAGUGUUAGGCUCUAUAUAUAGUUGUGUCUUUUUUUUUCUGGUUAAAGUGGAUAUAUCAUCGUAUAAUAUUGAUGAUGGAUUAUUUUGUUUAGAUUUUUUUGUUAAUGCUUUGUAAAGAACGUGAAUGACAUUUUGGAGUAUUUUCAAUGAAAUUAUUUUUUUAGCA